CAGGUGCUUAUACACGCGAGUCCAUGACUCAAUACCUGGACUGCUAUUUUCAGUAAGGUACCACUUCAAACCUUCAUCUGUAUAUACCAUUGUAUUUUCAUAUUUUUGUUUGUUUGAUUCUCAAACCAACUCUCAAAUUUUUAUUACACAAGGGACUGUGUAAUUUAAGUUUGGGGGCGGGUUUGGGAUGGCAUCUGAUGUUGUGUUCUUUUUUCUUAAUUUGAAUUUUUAGCAUAUAAUUUGCAUUCAUAUAUGUGCAUUGAAAACCCCUAAAAAUUUGAAAAAUUUUCAGAAAAAAAUCUUUAAAAACAGAGUGAUCAUGUAGCUUGCAUCAGCAUAUUAGGAUUGAGUCUAGACUGUUU
rnacentral:lncRNA from 1 species